AUACUUACCUUAGAGACGCACGCAUAUGAUCAUGAAGGUAUGUGGCGAUUAAGUGGAGCUCCACAGUACACGUGUUGUCAUCCUUGUGAUGUGUAACACAGUGGGUACGUGAUCCUUAAUUAGUUAGGUCAUUAGACUUACCUUUCUCUAUAAUUUUUUGUCAGGAUUGUUGCGUUUACGCAUAUUUCC
rnacentral:snRNA from 21 species